AGUCGAACGGCAGCGCGGGGCAACCUGGCGGCGAGUGGCGAACGGGUGAGUAAUAUAUCGGAACGUACCCAAGAGUGGGGGAUAACGUAGCGAAAGUUACGCUAAUACCGCAUACGAUCUAUGGAUGAAAGUGGGGGAUCGCAAGACCUCAUGCUCCUGGAGCGGCCGAUAUCCGAUUAGCUAGUUGGUGAGGUAAAGGCUCACCAAGGCGACGAUCAGUAGCUGGUCUGAGAGGACGACCAGCCACACUGGAACUGAGACACGGUCCAGACUCCUACGGGAGGCAGCAGUGGGGAAUUUUGGACAAUGGGCGCAAGCCUGAUCCAGCAAUGCCGCGUGAGUGAAGAAGGCCUUCGGGUUGUAAAGCUCUUUUGUCAGGGAAGAAACGGCUGAGGCUAAUAUCCUCGGCUAAUGACGGUACCUGAAGAAUAAGCACCGGCUAACUACGUGCCAGCAGCCGCGGUAAUACGUAGGGUGCAUGCGUUAAUCGGAAUUACUGGGCGUAAAGCGUGCGCAGGCGGUUUUGUAAGUCUGUCGUGAAAGCCCCGGGCUCAACCUGGGAAUUGCGAUGGAGACUGCAAGGCUUGAAUCUGGCAGAGGGGGGGUAGAAUUUCCACGUGUAGCAGUGAAAUGCGUAGAGAUGUGGAGGAACACCGAUGGCGAAGGCAGCUCCUCUGGGUCAAGAUUGACGCUCAUGCACGAAAGCGUGGGGAGCAAAACAGGAUUAGAUUACCCCUGGUAGUCCACGCCCUAAACGAUGUCCUAACUAAGUCGUCGGGUUCUUAAUUUGACUUGGUAACGCAGCUAACGCGUGAAGUAA
rnacentral:rRNA from 1 species